rnacentral:rRNA from 1 species
GAUGAACGCUAGCGGCAGGCCUAAUACAUGCAAGUCGAACGAGAUUAAGAGGCUUGCUUCUUAUGAAAGUGGCGCACGGGUGCGUAACGCGUAUGCAACCUACCUUAAUCAGGGGGAUAGCCCGAAGAAAUUCGGAUUAAGACCGCAUAAAAACACAGGAUAGCAUUAUCCAAUGUUCAAAUAUUUAUAGGAUUAAGAUGGGCAUGCGUGUCAUUAGCUAGUUGGCGGGGUAACGGCACACCAAGGCGACGAUGACUAGGGGAUCUGAGAGGAUGACCCCCCACACUGGUACUGAGACACGGACCAGACUCCUACGGGAGGGAGGAGUAAGGAAUACUGGUCAAUGGAGGGAACUCUGAACCAGCCAUGCCGGGUGCAGGAAGACAGCCCUCGGGGUCGUAAACUGCUUUUAUUCGAGAAUAAACCUUUCUACGUGUAGGAAGCUGAAUGUACCGAAGGAAUAAGGAUCGGCUAACUCCGUG